CAAAAGCUAGCUCAUGAGGAGAGGUUUGUCAAGUCCACAUAAGAAGACCGAAUUCCCAUCCCUCUACCGCUGUGGGACAUCUUAAUGGGAAUUCGGUCUUCUUAUGUGGACUUGACAAACCUCUCCUCAUGAGUUAGCUUUUG
rnacentral:pre_miRNA from 1 species